rnacentral:rRNA from 1 species
CGUGUAGGCGGGUUAUUAAGUCAGAUGUGAAAUACCGAGGCUCAACUUCGGGGCUGCAUUUGAAACUGAUAAUCUUGAGUGCUGGAGAGGGAAGCGGAAUUCCUAGUGUAGCGGUGAAAUGCGUAGAUAUUAGGAGGAACACCAGUGGCGAAGGCGGCUUUCUGGACAGUAACUGACGCUGAGGCGCGAAAGCGUGGGGAGCAAACAGGAUUAGAUACCCUGGUAGUCCACGCUGUAAACGAUGGAUACUAGGUGUAGGGGGUAUCGACCCCCCCUGUGCCGGAGUUAACACAAUAAGUAUCCCACCUGGGGAGUACGGCCGCAAGGUUGAA